CUGCACACAGGUUUUUCAGAUCUGGAGUCAGUUGAUGACUUUAAAAUAAUCUUUUCUGACUGGAUAAUUAAAGCUCACAGCAUCUACCUGUCUGUAGUGGAUUUUCCCACCUUUUAAAUAAUCUAAUCUCAUUUAAUGUCUCUGUUUUUAGUCUGUAUAAUUUAUCUCCCCACAAAUACACCCAAAGUAGUCUUAAAAUAAAACCCAUAAAACAGUUCAAGAUGACAUACUUUUUAUUUGCUCAUUUAAUGCCAGUUGCCCUCUUUCUCUGUAUGUCACUCAUUCGCUUAUACUCAGGACAAAGUACCAAUUUUUAUGCUGAUGAGUCUUGUAAAAAAAAAUUUUCUGUCUCUCUAUGACAGACAAAUGUAUAUGCUCAAUAUUGCUGUUUUAACUGAUGCUCAAAUUUCCAAGCACCACCUGAACGCCUCAUCGGUCUUUAACUAAUCACUGCACCAACUGUCAUCAUUCCGCUUUGCUCUUUGCUGUGGAACUUGACUCACAUCUGUGCUUUGCCUGUGUGCAGAAGAAGAACAAGGACGAGAUCUCCAGUCUUCUCUCUCACAUCCCAACCCCCCAACCCCUCUAUCCUCUGUCCUGCUCCACCUGUUGUCUCUGCCUUCUUUCCAUCUGUAUUUCACCCUGUGGUUUGUGAGAAAUUUUGCCAAACCAAGAAUCUUAUUGCGGUUUGAUUUCAAAGCCGUGUCUCUCCUGCUCUGUCUGUUCUCUCUGCUAAAUUUUCUCUCUACCUGUUUUUCACUCUUUGGCUUGCUGCUGAGAAAUGCACAAGCCAAUAAAGCAAUAAAGAGUGCAUAUAUUGCCUCUACCUGAGAACAAACUGAACAAACAAAGAAAACUCUAAUUCACGGUUUGAUUGUGAUUUCCCAGCCGUGUCUCUCCUGCUCUGUCUGUUCUCUCUUCUAAAUUUUCUCUCUACCAGUUCUUAACUUUGUGCUUGCUGCUAAGUUGUGCCAAGCCAAUAAAGAGAGCGCAUAAUACUCUCUCUACUGAAGACCAAACUGUCAAACAAAGACAACUGUUUCUGAGCAAUAAAAACUGAAAUAUAAAGAC